rnacentral:rRNA from 1 species
GAACGCUCUCGGCAACGAGGGAGUGGCGCACGGGUGAGUAACACCUGGGUACCUGUUCCACAGUGAGGGAUACCGGCGCGAAAGCGCCGACAAGCCCGCAUACGUUCCCCCUCAUGGGGGGAAGAAAGCUCUUAUGGGCGCUGUGGGAGGGGCCUGUGGCCGAUUAGCUAGCUGGUGGGGUAACGGCCUACCAGGGCGACGAUCGGUAGCUGGUCUGAGAGGACGAUCAGCCACACUGGGAUUGAGAACGGCCCAGACUCCUACGGGGGGCAGCAGUGAGGAAUUUUCGGCAAUGGGCGCAAGCCUGACCGAGCAACGCCGCGUGCAGGAGGACGCUUUUCGGAGUGUAAACUGCUUUUCUGUGGGACGAGUGAGGACGGUACCACAGGAAGAAGCCCCGGCUAACUACGUGCCAGCAGCCGCGGUAAU